AAAGGAGACCCGGUCUCCGAGGCUCAUGGCGAUGCUGGUCCUAGUACCCGGACGAGUUAUGCGGCCUCUGGGUGGCCAACUUUGGCGCUUCUUGCCUCGCGGACUCGAGUUUUGGGGCCCAGCCGAGGGGACUGCGAGAGUCUUGCUGAGGCAGUUCUGCGCGCGGCAAGCGGAGGCGUGGCGUGCCUCGGGGCGCCCUGGCUAUUGCCUGGGAACCCGGCCCCUCAGCACUGCGAGGCCGCCACCCCCGUGGUCGCAGAAGGGCCCCGGAGACUCCACGCGCCCCUCGAAGCCCGGGUAGCCUGUUUCCUGGAAGUCUUUAGCAAUCACAUUUGCUAUUGGAGGAGCUUUACUGGCUGGAAUGAAGCACGUCAAGAAAGAAAAGGCAGAGAAGUUAGAGAAGGAACGGCAGCGACACAUCGGCAAGCCUUUACUUGGGGGACCGUUUUCCCUCACAACUCAUACUGGGGAGCGUAAAACUGACAAGGACUACUUGGGUCAGUGGUUAUUGAUUUAUUUUGGCUUCACUCAUUGCCCUGAUGUCUGUCCAGAAGAACUAGAAAAGAUGAUU
rnacentral:lncRNA from 1 species